rnacentral:rRNA from 1 species
AUGAACGCUGGCGGCGUGCCUAAUACAUGCAAGUAGAACGCUGAAGCUUGGUGCUUGCACCGAGCGGAUGAGUUGCGAACGGGUGAGUAACGCGUAGGUAACCUGCCUCUUAGCGGGGGAUAACUAUUGGAAACGAUAGCUAAUACCGCAUAAAAGUCGAUAUCGCAUGAUAUUGAUUUGAAAGGUGCAAAUGCAUCACUAAGAGAUGGACCUGCGUUGUAUUAGCUAGUUGGUGAGGUAACGGCUCACCAAGGCGACGAUACAUAGCCGACCUGAGAGGGUGAUCGGCCAGACUGGGACUGAGACACGGCCCAGACGCCUACGGGAGGCAGCAGUAGGGCAUCUUCGGCAAUGGGGGCAACCCUGACCGAGCAACGCCGCGUGAGUGAAGAAGGUUUUCGGAUCGUAAAGCUCUGUUGUAAGAGAAGAACGAGUGUGAGAGUGGAAAGUUCACACUGUGACGGUAACUUACCAGAAAGGGACGGCUAACUACGUG